rnacentral:rRNA from 1 species
CCUACGGGAGGCAGCAGUGAGGAAUAUUGGUCAAUGGCCGGAAGGCUGAACCAGCCAAAUCGCGUGAGGGACGACUGCCCUAUGGGUUGUAAAUCUCUUUUAUAAGGGAAGAAUAAAUGCUACGUUUAGCCUGAUGCCUGUACCUUACGAAUAAGCAUCGGCUAACUCCGUGCCAGCAGCCGCGGUAAUACGGAGGAUGCGAGCGUUAUCCGGAUUUAUUGUGCUUAAGGGGUACGGAGGCGGUUUUUUAGGUUAGUGGUUAAACGUCGGGGCUUCACCUUGAUUUGCCAUUAAUACUGUAAGACUCGAGUUCAGACGAGGUAGGCGGAAUAAGUUAUGUAGCGGUGAAAUGCUUAGAUAUGACUAAGAACUCCGAUAGCGAAGGCAGCUUACCAGACUGCGACUGACGCUGAGGCACGAGAGCGUGGGUAGCGAACAGGAUUAGAUACCCGGGUAGUC